GCCGUCGAGAAGGGAGAAGCACAGAGAGGAGAAAUCCGAAAAUGGUGAAGUUCCUCAAGCCGAACAAAGCCGUCAUCGUCCUUCAAGGCCGUUACGCCGGUCGGAAGGCGGUCAUCGUUCGCGCCUUCGACGACGGAACUCGGGAUCGGGCUUAUGGCCACUGCUUAGUCGCCGGAAUAAAAAAGUACCCGGCCAAGGUCAUCCGCAAGGACUCAGCCAAGAAGACCGCUAAGAAAUCCCGAGUCAAGGCCUUCAUCAAGCUCGUCAACUACAGGCACCUGAUGCCCACCAGGUACACUCUCGAUGUCGAUCUUAAAGACGUCGUCACUAUCGAUUCCUUGCAAUCCAAGGACAAGAAGGUCACCGCCGCCAAGGAGACCAAGAAGAGGUUCGAGGAA
rnacentral:misc_RNA from 1 species